GACGAACGCUGGCGGCGUGCUUAACACAUGCGAGUCGAACGGAAAGGCCCUGCUUUUGUGGGGUGCUCGAGUGGCGAACGGGUGAGUAACACGUGAGUAACCUGCCCUUGACUUUGGGAUAACUUCAGGAAACUGGGGCUAAUACCGGAUAGGAGCUCCUGCUGCAUGGUGGGGGUUGGAAAGUUUCGGCGGUUGGGGAUGGACUCGCGGCUUAUCAGCUUGUUGGUGGGGUAGUGGCUUACCAAGGCUUUGACGGGUAGCCGGCCUGGGAGGGUGACCGGCCACAUUGGGCCUGAGGUAGGGACCAGACUCCUACGGGAGGCAGCAGUGGGGAAUCUUGCACAAUGGGCGGAAGCCUGAUGCAGCAACGCCGCGUGCGGGAUGCCGGCCUUCGGGUUGUAAACCGCUUUCGCCUGUGACGAAGCGUGAGUGACGGUAAUGGGUAAAGAAGCACCGGCUAACUACGUG
rnacentral:rRNA from 1 species